rnacentral:lncRNA from 1 species
AACAGAGAAAUGAAAACUAGCGUAAAAAAACUUCAGUUUUGUCCGAAGGAUGAAAAUCUUGAAAUUAUUAUCCUAUGUUCCGACAGAUACUUUUAUCUUCUGAUAGAUAACAUGUGGUUUGUGACAUAUUGUCCUUAUUUGUUCAGGGAAGUAUUACAUCUGCCUUUAAUUAUGCAGUCAUGAGUUGGAGCAACAAGAUAUUAGGGCCAACUCUGGUUGCCCUUUACAUUCCACUUCAACCUGGAUUUGCUGCCAUAUUGUCUCAGAUAUUCCUUGGAAGUCCAAUUUACUUGGGAAGGUAUAGUAUAGUAUAGCUCCUUUUACUUCUGAUUAUUGAUUGAUUCAUGCUCUCUAUUCUAACUUGACUUAAUGACCACUAAGCUAUUCGCUAUGUUCAAAAACGAAUUGUGCAAGAUAGGACUUAAUAAGAGUUUUUUCUGGAUAAACAACAUAAUUAAGUGCUUAUAGCAUAAACCCUUAUUAAAUAAAAAAUGUUUAUGUGUAAGCUAUUUCUAUAACAAAAGGUAAAAUAUAAGCUAUAAGUGGUUUUCAUAAGCUCUGGAGAGCUUAUGAAAAUAAGUUGAAAACAACUAUGGACAUGCCAUUAGCUGGUUCCAUAUGUUCUCUCAAGCAAUUUCACAAGUUCCUUAUAUCAGUAGAUAACCUCAAAACAGCCAAUCUAAACAAACUCUUAAUCAAGUUUUUCCUCUUUCAAUAACAUGCAUUCUGAAAUUAUGUUAUUGAGAAAUUUCUUACUAUUCUUACUUUUAUAAUCCAUAUGACAACAGUAUAAUAGGGGGGUCUUUGAUCAUUGUUGGACUUUAUACUGUUACCUGGGCAUCUUUUAAACAAAGACAGGCAACUGUUGGAACUACUUCUCACGACUCUUGGAUCUCUGAACCACUUAUUAUUCAUGAAAAAAGUUCACACCAUAGAGGUAAUAUAUUUUCGGGGCAUGAAUCAUAGAAUGUCGAUAAAGGACGGCCUAGUGUACGAGCCUUCAGCCAAGCGAGUGGAGUCAGGGAAAAGUAAAUGUGCACGGUCUUAUCUCUACAAGCAGAGAGGUUGUUUUUAUAAUUUGAAUGUGUGACUUCUAGAUCACAAGACACCAACCUUAUAAUUGUGCAAAGACUCGCCCGCUAAAUCUUAAUGUAAAUCCUUGUAAAAGAUUGGUUCUGUGAGUGUGAUUCUUUAACCGGUAAAUCUGUGUUGAAUGUUGUUUUCAAACAAACUGUCCAUGUUAAUAGUUAAGUGCAGUUUAUUUUUUUGAGGUUGUUGAAUGCAAUGUUACAAUCUACAUAGUGGAACCAAGUUGCAUCCUCGUCAUAAUUUGUAACUCUAUCUGAUUUUCAAUCCCAUUUCUUCCUGGAAAUAGUGUUGGUAUGUUACCCUUUUAUAUCACUAUGUUCAAUUUUAUCCUAAACAAAUGAGUUAACUUAAGAAAAUUAACUUAUGGAACUUGAUAAGUUUUUUUGGUUGAGAGAGAUGAUAUCAGAUCAAUUCAUUAUUAAUAAUGUGGAUGUGAGUAAUGUUAAAGAAGUCAUUCUGGAUGUUCAUGUUAAUAGAGCCAAUAAAACUUUGACUUUUUUUGAGUGAGACCAUGUGGAUGAGUGUCACUCAAAAGCCUAUAUUCCACAACUGAAAGUGAUUCAUUUGACAAAUCAAGCAAAAUAUUGUUGUCUAGUUUGUUCUCAGUUUGAUCCUUCAUAGAAUUUUCUUCAUUCUGCUUGAUCAAUUUCUUAUGAGAUUCUUCCACUUCUUCAAAAACAGAAUUUCUAAUAGGCUUUGCAUAUGUGUCCCCUCUAAACAAAGAUUUAUUCCAAGAACCAAAGAAUAAACCAGAAGCAACAAGUAAAUCUCUUAUGUAAGAUUCUGCUGGAUCAUUUCGUUACACCAAUUCAGACUCAGAAGGUUUUUGUUUCAUAGUGAAUUCCUCAACAUAAUCAGAAUCAAGUUGAUUGAGUUGUCUCCUUAGCACUGUCAAAUCAACAAGCAAAGUGAUUCACCAGAAAGAGUUCGAAAAAAAGUUCAGCAUUGAAAAAAAGAUUAUUCACCAAUAUAAUUGCACGGGAAGUAAAAGCAUAAUAAAACAACAUUAACCGCCUUUUUUUGUAUCAAAACUAUGGUAUGAAUACUUAAGAAUUUUAUUGUACCAUUUAAACCAGAGCUGAUGUCUCUGAAAACUUGUGGCACAACAGUAUCGUCUCUUGAUGACAAAUUGGAUUUAAACAUUCGAUUCGCCUCCAGAAGUCUUCAUGAACACUGCUGCACACAUGCUGGACUAGGAGGUACCUCAGUGUAGUUCUCCAAAAGAGCAUAUAGCAGAAAAUCAAAUGAUUUUUUAUACAACUUUGUUCGAAAUAAAAAGGUCAUCAUAGUCAACAGGUAAAAAUACUCCGUCCGUUCCUUCUUAUUGUUGUUUUAAUAUUAUUUACACAUAAUAAGAAAACUAGUAAAUUUCGUUACUUUUGAUGAAAUCAUUUCUUUUUCUAUUAUACCCUUAACUUUUUAUUAUCUUGUUCUAUCUACUUAUCCCUUUGCAAUAUUGACAAAAUAAUAGUUAAUGUUGCAUUAAAAUUUAAAAACAACAAAUAAAUAUGAAAGAAUUCUUCUGCAGAAGCGACACUUAAAAAGGAAUGAGGAUUGGAGAGGGAGUAUGACCAUGAAGCACGGAUGCGGACACUAACACGCCGACACAACUAAUAAUUUGAAAAAGUCACAUAAUACAAUGUAAUUACAAGUGUCGGUGUCGUAUCGGACACGCCUAAUCCGAGGAGUGUCCGUGCUUCAUAGGAGUAUGAUGCACUUACAUGUCUCUCACCACCGUCGUUCAUAAGAACUGUUGGACCAUUUUGAUGUCUCUCAUUGUCGGACGGUAUUCAGUGCCAUGUGAUUCUACCAUUGAUUGAUAUCUCUUGCCGAAAAUCCCCCCUCUUAAAGCAAAACUGUAUCUCAAAUUGGAGACUUUCUCUUUAAUAUUCUUAAAUCUCUCUCUUUUUUCUGUUUUUUAACAUCAAGAGACAUAGUUUCAACCACUUCAAGUUUCCUCUGAAUAUGAGCCCCGGUUAAAAUGUGUCAGUCCUCUAGAAGAAGCUUUCCAAAUUAUUUUCCUGAUCUCAUACAGGAGCAUAGAAGGACCUUACAAGGUUCCUUGGAGACAAUAACUCCCUUUGAGGAACAAUAUGUUGCUGUUUUGAUCAUGCCUGAAGGAUCUGUUCAUGGUUAUAGUUGGAUUAUACAUGGUGUACAUGAGUUAGCUAAACUGAUAGAGGAUUCUGUGCCUCAAGUUCCACUUGAUGAUCAUUCAACUACUUCCAACUUCCUUGCACCGAUAUUGGUAUAAAGAUAUAGUGUGAGUGCUUGAGUGUAUUUUCUUUGCUUUUGAAGAUAUAUGCUUCUUAUAUGUACUCUUUGAGAAAGUAUGUCAUGUUUGAGUGCAAUCUUUUGGUCUUGGAAGUGCUGAAAAAAUUUGCUAUUUAUAGAGAAGGUUGGACUUUUUGAAUCUUGGACAACAAACCAAAGUAUAUUUGUUAAAUUUCCUUUUAUCAAGUGUGGAAUUCAGAGCCUUGAAGGACAAGUUGCAUAGUUCUGAUGUAUGAGUCUCAACCAUUGUUCUGAUGUCUUGAUUUGAACUUGAUUCUCAAGUAUAUGACUCAAUUUUAGGUUCUGAUGAAUUAAUUCUGAUGUGAGGAAUUUUGGUAAACAAAAAAUGGACGCAUCAGGAAGUUAUGUGGAUAAUGUGUUAAAAUCCUUCAUUUGGAGCUUGUUGGGUCUCAACAUUUUCAAUUCCUCCCACAAAUGAAUCAAUGAAAGAAUAACAGAUUAACCAUCAGCGGAACAAACUCACUAACUGGUUUUUGUAUUUGAACAAACUUUGUUGUUUUCGUCUCUUUCUUUCAUGGGUGUUUGUGUUAAAAUAUUCAUGAAUAUAGCGUGGAAAUAACUAAUAAGAUCAUGUCGGUUUAUUUUAAUUCGGUGAUCAAAAUGGAUACUACAUUACGAGGAGAGAAAUGCUAGGGAUACUCUCUUUUCAACACUCUCUUCAACACUCAUUCUCUUAUUGGAUGAACCCAAUGCAUGACCCACCACUUUUAGUGGGACCCAUUUCCAAAGUGUAAGAUCCACCAUGCUUUAAACCAAUAAUAAGAAGGUGAGUGGGGGAGAGAGUGUUGAAUAGAGAGUGUUGAAAAGAGAGUGUUGCUAGCAUUACUCGAGGAGAGAAACUAAAUUGGGAGCAAAGAAAAAAUAAUAUAAUUUUAUAAAAAUCAUGUGAAAGCUAGUUUCUUACACAAAAUGGAAGAAUUUAAAAAUAAGAGUUUCAGAAACUAAAUUCCAUUGUAUGAUCCUCCAAUCACAAUCACAUGAGACUCUUCAACAUGCAGUGCAUCCUUCAAUGAAUGGGCAAUAAUUUACCAUAUUACUGAUGCUAGCGAAAAAAUUAAAAGUAUCAUUAGAAUUUGUAAUUCAUAGAUCAUUGAGUAUUAACUUUAGUAUCACUAUUUUCUCAAAAAAAAAAAAAAAAAAACUUUAGUAUCACUAUAGAAACAAAAUUUGGUCCAAAAAUUUGAUAGAUUGUUCUACAUAUGCGUAUUCAAUAAAAAAAAAUAUAUUCAAUAUUAAAUUAAUUCUUUUUUUUUCCGAAGGAAUAUUAAAUUAAUUCUUUUAAGAAUUACAUGAACAUAUUAUCAAUAAUUUUGCAGCAAAAAAUUAAGAAGAGUGAUAUUCAAAGAUUAGUAUGUGGAGGUUUCAGCUAAUAUGGCAUCUACAACUUCGUGUCUUUAUAAUUCUAUUGUAGUUUUUACCUGGUGUGAUUUUUUCAAAAUAACCAAUGAUUAGUUUUCUUUAACGUCUUAACUUAUCUUUCUAGAAGACUACUACAUAUGUUUACUUUAUUGCCUUUUUCAGCUAUGGAAGCAUCCAUGACAAAAAAACUUGCACGUUUAUCACGUAACAAGUCAAAGGUCCUAACUCCUAAGAUAUAAGAUCGGUGUUUUAUUUUUGUGAAAUUGAAGCAAUUGUGAGUUGUAAUGGCAACAAUGGGUGGUGAGACUUUGAUGAAGGCCCAUCUAGCCAUGGCAUUCUUACAGCUUUUCAAUGGUGGAUACCAUGUCAUUACUAAGGUGGCCCUUAACGCUGGAGUCAACCAAUUAGUCUUCUGCUUCUAUAGAGAUCUCAUUGCCCUCCUCAUUAUUUCUCCCAUUGCUUUCUUCAAAGAAAGGUAAGCAAGCUAUCUUCCAUUACUUACUCUUUCUUGGACGGUAACCAUUAUUUACUUAUUUACUUAUUUAACUAAUAUGGAUAUUAUCGUGGUAUAAUGACUGGUUCGGUAUAUCGACAUGUGAGUGUCGUGUAUAUUGUCUGUCUAAGAAUUGUUAACAAUAUAGAGAAUCAAAUAGAAAAGAGAACAAAGGAGGCUAAGGUUUCAAUAAAAUACAAUUAGCAUGACUUAUUCUAGUAAGAGUUACAAGAUAAUAUAGAGUAAUACAUGAUGGAUUAAACUUUUUUUAAUAAUGAUAAAUGUUAGUAUGUUAAUUAUUAUGUUAGAUUUUUCUCCUUGUCAGAACUUGAACUUUGGACCUCCAGCUCCCUACCCUUUAACUCCAACCGAUUGAGCUACCCAACCCCCCACCAAAUGGACCAGACUGAGAUAUAACCUCAAAAUAUCCUAACAUAGAAAAUCAUAUAUGCAUGUAUUAAACUAUCCGGUGGAAAGACCCGCUUCUUUGUAUGGGUGUCCAUGUGUAAUUAUUUGCUAUUUUUCUGAUGGUGCCUUCUGUAUAUUGGCACCAUUGACUUUGUAACUGUUUUUGGUGUUCUCUUUCAGCACGUCUUAUGCGGGAAGAAUUACUGUUGUUAGUAAUGCAUUUCAUUUUGGCUUGUUAAAAAAAAAAACUAUCUAUGCUACAACUGUUCCAUAAAAAAUCACAUCUAAUAUGAGAUCAUUUAACACCAAAUUCAUCUUAAUGGUUUGACCCCAUGUUUUGUACUGCUGUACACUUUUAUUUUGAGAUAGAAAGUUUCUUAAUUAUAUACAAUGUGACUAUAGACAGACAAGACCACCCAUUACUAAGCAGCUAUUCAUGUCAUUCUUCUUUCUUGGAUUAAUUGGGUAAGGUCCUUGCUAUAGCAUCUCAUGUCCUUUUUUUCUUAAAUACUAAUGACAUGCUAGUGAUACAUUUUCAUUGUUAAUUUAUGAUCAGGAUAUUUGGCAGCCAGGUGUUGUUUCUUUAUGGUUUAGGUUAUACAAAUCCAACUUAUGCCUCUGCCUUACAGCCUUCUAUUCCUGUCUUUACCUUUCUACUUGCUGUCAUCAUGGGGUCAGCUUCACUCUUAUCAAUUUCUACUUUCAGUCUUUUAUGUAUUUCUUAUGAAUGUAUCAAAAACAAUUGAUUAUUAGUCAAUUUUUUUGUAGAACACAUAGGCACAAAUGCACAUUCAUAAUUGUAGUGCAGAAAUCUCUACAUGAAUAAAAUUAUCCCAAUACACUUAUGCAUUAAGCAAUGACACAUUUUAAUAAUCUUAUGUUAUGUCUGCAGUGUAGAAAGAGUGAAUCUGCAGAGUUUUGAAGGUCUGACAAAGGUUGGAGGGACUGUUAUAUGUGUUUCUGGUGCCAUAUUUAUGGCUUUGUACCGCGGUCCAUCGUUGAUAGGAUAUAACGAACCAGUGAUCAUACCACAUAAUGAAAUAAUUGUCAGUGGUCAGCCAGAGCCUUUUGGUUUUGGAUGGUUGAUUACUGGUUUACUGAAUCUUGGAUUAGAAAAUUUCAAACUUGGAGUUAUGUUCUUGAUAGGUAACUGCACAUUCAUGGCUGCUUUCCUAGCCAUUCAGGUAUCUAUCUUUUUUGUUAAAUCCAUUAAGUGACUGUUGAUAUCAAUGGCAAGUUUAACUUAUUUCCAAUAACUAAUUGUUUUCAGGCGCAGGUACUAAAAAAGUAUCCUGCAUAUCUAUCAGUGACAGCAUUUUCAUUCUUCUUUGGCGUUGUACUAAUGGCGAUAGUCUCCUUAUUCACGACUAAUUUGUCAUCUGACUGGAUUUUGACACAAUCAGAAAUACUUGCGGUUGUUUAUGCUGUGAGUCUAUGAUUUUAAAUCAAUAUAAUGAACCAUUAUCAGCCAUUUCUGUUGUAGAUCAUUUUGUCCAUUUCACUGUCUUGCUUGGCUAAUUUUAGAGAACAAAAUCCUCAAAAUCACUAAGCAAAUUUCUUUGAAACAUUCACAGGCAAUAAGGCAUGUUCUAGUUUAUUUCUAUUAAUUAAGCAAGAAUGCAUAUUAAGAGUGUUGCUGAAAAUUGUAUUUAGGUAAAUACGUCCCAAGGAAGUGAACAGAGAAAUGAAAACUACUAGAGUAAAACAACUUCAGUUUUUUUUCCUAAAGGAUGAAAAUCUUGAUAUUAUUAUCCUAUGUUCCAACAGAUACUUAUUAGAAGUAUCUUCUAAUAGAUAAUUUAGUGAUUUUUAACGUGUGGAUUGUGACAUAUUGUUCUUAUUUGUUCAGGGAACUAUUACAUCUGCCAUUAAUUAUGCAGUCAUGUGUUGGAGCAACAAGAUAUUAGGGCCAACUCUGGUUGCCCUUUACAUUCCACUUCAACCUGGAUUUGCUGCCAUAUUGUCUCAGAUAUUCC